rnacentral:rRNA from 1 species
UAGGGGGCAAGCGUUAUCCGGAUUUACUGGGUGUAAAGGGAGCGUAGACGGUGAAGCAAGUCUGGAGUGAAAGCCCGGGGCCCAACCCCGGGACUGCUCUGGAAACUGUUUGACUGGAGUGCAGGAGGGGCAGGCGGAAUUCCUGGUGUAGCGGUGAAAUGCGUAGAUAUCAGGAGGAACACCGGCGGCGAAGGCGGCCUGCUGGACUGCAACUGACGUUGAGGCUCGAAGGCGUGGGGAGCAAA